AUAGUAAUUGAUGGCACAUUAUUCUAGUCAAUUACUUUGCUAGGAAGACGAGAAUAAACAAUCGUUAAAGGGCAUAUCUGUGAAACCUUUGGUGCUUGCUUCUUACGCCCAGUUUGGGGUGAGUGCUGGAGAUGAAGAUUUUUGGGCGACGCAUAAUGGCAUAUGUGAGCCGACCCAAUUGUCGUGGAGACCUAUUAUUGUGGUAAGCCUAUACGUGUAUAACUGAUGGACUUAUUACGAAAUGGGAUUAAACCUAUAUUGUGGCGAAAGCUAUGUGUAGUGUAGCCUGUCUUGAGUGAAAGUCUUGGGAUAAAUGAUCUUGCUUAUGAUAAGAGGCCGCUUAUUAUAAGUAUUGCGUUUUGAAAUCACUUUUGCAAAAAAGUACUAAUAGCGAAGUGUUGGGGAGGAAAUCUCCUAGAGUGGGUGCUAAUAUAGGAUUGCAGUGGACACUAAGUGGUAAUCAAGUCGUAUCAUUCGGUGACGAGAUAUAAACUCUUUUAAAGGGGAACCGCAAUUUUGGUAACGGAAUUGUAAGAGUUUGGGAAAACCUACUUGACCUAAGGUUCAAAGUUUACUAUAUUGCUCGCCAAGCAAUUAU
rnacentral:sRNA from 1 species